rnacentral:lncRNA from 1 species
AUAUUCAUAAUUGAAAUCAUAGAAAUAUCUCUUAAGAAAAGGAUUGAAAACACCUUCAAGUAGAAAAUCUUCGAAACCCUAACACUUCUCUGUCUCCAAUAUUGCAUAAAAUAAAGCGUCCAGAAAAACUAUAGACGGCCAAGCAAUAUAUAUGCCAAGCCUCUCCACAAACCCUAGGAAACAUAACCCUAAAUUAAAUGAUAAAAUUCGUCUAAAAUCUGAACAGCCACGUUUUGACCCAUAAGCUGCUCCAAAACUGGCCCAAUAUAGCUGGAUUUAAUGUUUGGGAUAUUCUGAACACUUUUCCAGAAGGCCACGAACCCAUCCGAGGUCAUCUUGGGCUCCAAAAACGCAAUUUAAGC